rnacentral:tRNA from 1 species
GCCUGGGUGGCUCAGCUGGUUGAGCGUCUGACUUUGGCUCAGUUCAUGAUCUUCAUGGGUUCAAGCCCCGCAUCAGGCU